rnacentral:lncRNA from 1 species
UGUCCAAAAAAUCAUUCAUAAAAAAUCAUUUACAAAGAAUCUAGACGUUUUUUGGUUUUAAUUUUUCAAAUUUGAGGGCAGAAGGUUCAAGAAAUAUGCAGGUCUGUAAAAGGUGAGAAUUCUCCUUGUGAAAAAGAAAAAAAAGAUAAAUCCGGACAAUGGGGGGAAAUUGAAGAAAUUUUUGGAGUUUUGUUUUGGUUUCCUUCUUCCUUUUCUUUUUAAAAAUCAAAAAAAUGAAAAGUGUUCUUGUUACUAGUUUCGUUCAACUCUGAAUCUGGGCUCUCAAAAAUGGAAGUGAUCUUACUCGUUGCUGCGAACUCGCCGGAGUUGAGGCUGCUCUGUUUCUUGGUUGGGUUUCAUUGUUCGCGUUUUCAAUUCGGGCUCCGUUGUUGUUCUUCUCGCUGAAAAUUUGGAGCAAAACUUGUAGUCCUCUAUUAUUAGUGGAAGAAUUUCGCAUUCUCAGGUUCACUUCUUGAUUCUUACUUAUUUUAUUUGUUGUGAUUAAUGUAUGAUGAAGCCAUGGGGAAUCUAUAUCAUAAGUGUUACUUAUGUUUUGGUUGUUUGAGAAUCUGUUUGUAGUUCGAAAUGCUAAAGAGUGAAUAAUUGGGAAAAUAAAAUGUUCA